GACGAACGCUGGCGGCGUGCUUAACACAUGCAAGUCGAACGGAAAGGCCCUGCUUUUGUGGGGUGCUCGAGUGGCGAACGGGUGAGUAACACGUGAGUAACCUGCCCUUGACUUUGGGAUAACUUCAGGAAACUGGGGCUAAUACCGGAUAGGAGCUCCUGCUGCAUGGUGGGGGUUGGAAAGUUUCGGCGGUUGGGGAUGGACUCGCGGGUUAUCAGCUUGUUGGUGGGGUAGUGGCUUACCAAGGCUUUGACGGGUAGCCGGCCUGAGAGGGUGACCGGCGACAUUGGGACUGAGAUACGGCCCAGACGCCUACGGGAGGCAGCAGGGGGGAAUAUUGCACAAUGGGCGGAAGCCUGAUGCAGCAACGCCGCGUGCGGGAUGACGGCCUUCGGGUGGUAAACCGCUGUCGCCUGUGACGAAGCGUGAGUGACGGUAAUGGGUAAAGAAGCACCGGCUAACUACGUG
rnacentral:rRNA from 1 species